AACUUUCAACAACGGAUCUCUUGGCUCUCGCAUCGAUGAAGAACGCAGCGAAAUGCGAUACGUAAUGUGAAUUGCAGAAUUCAGUGAAUCAUCGAAUCUUUGAACGCACCUUGCGCCCCUUGGCAUUCCGAGGGGCACACCCGUUUGAGUGUCGUGA
rnacentral:rRNA from 18 species